rnacentral:lncRNA from 1 species
GUUGGUCCUGUGGGCCCCUGGAAGGGUCUGGCAGCUCCCACGAUGGGCCCAGGAGCUCUGAGGAGUCUCUGGGCUGAUCUGGAGAUGUCCCAGUAGAGUCUGCGAGGGUCCAGGGAGCCCUCGUGUGGGUCUGAGUGGUCAUCCAGAAGGGUCUGGGGAUGGCCCAGAGAGGACUUGGAGGGUCUGGGGGGUCCUUUGGUGGGUUCUGCUGUCUUCUGGAAGGGUCUGAAGAUGUCCCAGGAGUGUCUUGGGGUGUCCAGGGGGUGCUCGUGUGGGUCUGGGGGGUCCUGGAGCCAUCCAGAAGGGUCUGGGGAUGGCCCAGAGAGGACUUGGAGGGUCUGGGGGGUCCUUUGGUGGGUUCAGAGGGUCCUGUUGUCUUCUGGAAGGGUCUGAAGAUGUCCCAGAAGUGUCUUGGGGUGUCCAGGGGGUGCUGCCACUGAGCCUCCCACUGUCCUAUGAGGGGACAAAAGGACCCCCCUGGGGGCAUUGCGUCAAAGUUGGGGACACUGUGAGCAGCUUGAGGACUUCCCAGGGGAAGUGGGGACACCGCGUCACUGUGUCACACCUCAAAGUUGGGGACACCCCCACCGUGUCACACCUCAAAGUUGGGGCAUCUCUGUGUCCCCCCGAUGGUGUCAGACCCCAAAGUUGGGGACACACCACAGUG